AUUGAACGCUGGCGGCAGGCCUAACACAUGCAAGUCGACCGAGCGGCGGACGGGUGAGUAAUGUAUGGGGAACUGCCCGAUGGAGGGGGAUAACUACUGGAAACGGUGGCUAAUACCGCAUACCAUCGGAUGUACCCAGAUGGGAUUAGCUAGUAGGUGGGGUAAAGGCUCACCUAGGCGACGAUCCCUAGCUGGUCUGAGAGGAUGACCAGCCACACUGGAACUGAGACACGGCCCAGACUCCUACGGGAGGCAGCAGUGGGGAAUAUUGCACAAUGGGCGCAAGCCUGAUGCAGCCAUGCCGCGUGUAUGAAGAAGGCCUUCGGGUUGUAAAGUACUUUCAGCCGGGAGGCGUUACCCGCAGAAGAAGCACCGGCUAACUCCGUGCCAGCAGCCGCGGUAAUAC
rnacentral:rRNA from 1 species